GUUUAUUUGCCUCGUUUGCUUUGUGUAAAUAAGUAAAAUUUUUGAAAUGAGUGUGAGUUUCAAAAGUCAUUGAUUAAUUCUUUUAUCGUGUCCAGCCAAAGUUCUGGGAAUGGACAAUUGGCAAAUCACGAUCCCAGCCCUCAUUGUGCUCUUAAUACAAAAAAUGAAUAUGGAUCUAUGCAGUUCACCUUUAUGCAGUUUAGUGUAGGGUAAUGCAUGGGCUCCGUAAAUCGAAAAAAUUUGAAGGCUGUUCUUGUUUCUCAUCAAUUAAUUUGUACACCAACCUUACGGGUGAUCUGCUUUCUGCUGGUAUGGACACGUCAUUGACAUUUUGAUUGUUAUGGACCUGUGUCAUCAUGAUAAAGCAGGUAAAAGAAGUACGGACAGGCUUGAAAGAAGUAUUGAAGCAGUGCUCAUCGAAAUCAAGAGGAUAGUGCUGGGGGAUCAUGCAUGGAGAUACUGAGAAAUGGAAUACUGAAAAAAGUGUCAUGCCAGCAGCCUAUUAUACCGUUGUUACAUCGAAAUCUUCUUGAAAAUAUGGAGCUGAGCCUUCUAUUAUCGUCGAGUAUCUACUUCGUCGGGACAGAAACAUUUCCGUGUGCCUUGACUCCACUAAACUCUUCUUCAAUUCAGCCACAAGUUGUUCACUGCUGAACACAGGGUUUCCUUAUUAACUUUCAGAUGCAAACUGCAUGCAGUUUUGGUGCUUUCUACGAUGUUUUUUAAAUUAUAUGUCCGUCUUGUGGGUGAACGUACUGCGCCGCGCCUGCCAGUAUGUGAUCUUAUUUGAAAACUUUUUGCCCCCGCCCUGUUUUGGUUCUCUGUGAUAUCUGCUCGUUUACAUAAUAUUCUCUAAACAGAUUUAAUCUUGAAACCACCCACCCUAUGGUCGGUGUUUCUUUCCUUUUCCUCAUGGUGAAGUUUUGUUUUAUUGAUUUAAUUUUAAUAUUGUAUAGAUAAUUUGUUUAGGCCAUACAUUUCAGUAAAAGCCAGAUGCGAUCUGUAUAUUUAUCACUGACAGUACACACUUGUUAUAGAUCGACCAUCAGUUUGGGCCACUGUGGUCAGUCGGACCACUUCGAAGUUGAAAACUAGGGUUAAAACGAAAAGCAUGGUAAAUUUUUAGAUUAUGUUCUAACUUUCGUUUUCUCUUCGGUCUACUCACACUUCUUCGCAACCACUGUGUUACACAUGCACAAUAGUGAUGUCAAAGAUGUUUCCAUUCUCUCAGGCUCUUUAUGGAAUUUGCUCAUGUCAGCCACAUUCUUUAUUGCUACAUUGUUUAUUCCAUUAUUUACCAUUUUACACAUUUGCGCACACCAAAUGUAUUGGCAUUGUUUAUCUCUAGAUUUACAGAGAUUUCAUGAUAAUCUAAAACUACUAUUCAAUUGUUUAAUUCUGUAAUAGUAUAUUAGAUCAUAUCGUCAUUAC